rnacentral:rRNA from 1 species
CCUUGCACACACCGCUCGUCGCUUCAUCGAAGUUGGUUCUUGGCGAGGUGGUGUCUAAUUGGCACUAUCGAACCUGGGGUCAGCAACGAGGGAG